GUCGCCCUAGGCUCGUGCCUAGGUUGCCAAGCCUAUGGAGCCGGCCCUGUUAGGGGGGACGGGGCGCCCCGUUAUGGCUCAACUUUGACGCGUGGACCGACGUGAAACACAGCCGCCGGUGCCAACUUUGAAGCGUGGUGAAAAUUUAGCGUGAUGAUGAGCAGCGUGGAGAAAGAAAUGAAAGCAGAGGAAGUAUUGAUCCGAUCUUUAUUAUUCUUGCUGAGCUCCAUUGUUGCAACAACAACAGCAAGACCCCCAAACACUAUCAAGUAAAAAAGCUCCAUUGUUGUUGAUUCUGAUCUAAAAUUGGAUUAAGAUUAAGAUUAAGAUUUCGAUCUCGAUCUGGGUAUUUUGGGAGAGUGUGAAUGGAAAAAGGGUAGACCAGAAAGCAGAGAUCUUGGAUAAGUACAAAGGGUGUCGGUGAAGGAUAAUUAUGGUGAUCUCGUCAUGCUAAGGGAGGAUCUCAUACUCGAUCACCAAAAAUAGCAAUAUUAAAGUGUUCUAAUAGUGGACUAAAUUACCUUCAUAAGGACUUCAUAAGGAUGUUAACAACAAACAAUGGGGCUUCAAUCGUAACAUCAAGAGCUCUAACAAUUGCCUACUUGUCAAAGGCAUGAGAUGCACUUAAGGUUCAAAGGCCUCACUGGGAGCCUAGGCACACGUCCGAGAAAAAAACAAUAUAUAUAUGGGAUGGUUCAUACGAGAACCGGCUUGAGUUGAGAGAACUCGUAGGAACUCGACUUCUAUUUUUUUCACCAAAUAUCAUUUUUUUUAAAAAUAGCUUUUCAAGGGAAAAAAUUUUCCUUGCCACUUUUUUACAGUGGCAGUUUCACCCCCCCCCCCCCCCCCCCCAGGCGUUAUAGUGAUUUAUGUUGGGGCAAUGAUUCUUACAUGUGGCAAAAAAUCGACUCGUGGUUUUUUUUGGACUUUCUUUCAUAGAGGGGCUUGUUUCGGUUAUUAGACAUCUAUAUAAUUCCGUUAUUAUACAUAUGUAAACUUCAUUUAACAUGUAGGAAAUCAUAAAAAUACAUAUAACAAAUAAUGAAAGUACCCUAAAUAUAAAAUAUAUCUAUAAAAUGAUUGUUUGUUAAGAGUUUUAAAAGUUCUGCAAUUAGUUAGCGUUCUGAAAUAAUGUUUAGUCGUAAGUGUUAACCCCAUCAAUAUUGUCCCCCAUCCAUAAUCAUUAUCAUAGUAAAUCAUCAAUACUAUUUAAAUUAAACAUCUUAACCCGAACACGACGUUUUAAUAAAUUGAUUAACUUUGUUUCCCACAGUUUGUAGUUUGUUACCUGGAAGCAUAAAGAGAAGUUUCUUUGUAGCCAUAGUCAACAAAAGUAGUCCACAAAUAACCAAAAUGAAAAAUUCCACAUCAAAAGAAAAGACUUGUAGCACGCAUUCAGGAUUGACUAUUUCUAGUUUUUGAUAUAAAUAUAGUUCAAAUACUCUCGCAUUAAAUGCAUAGUUUUCAAAGGCACAAAGACACUCAAGGCACAAAAUGUGAGCCUUGGGCCAAGGCACAAGGCGCUUAAAAAGCAAGGGGCUGGAGAUAAGCAAGACACAUAACAUAAACAUACCGUUGUUUUAGGUUUUAGGCGUGUUUAGGGCUUAGUUUAGGCUGGUUCUAGACCAUUUUCUGAAUGCUUCAAACCAAUUUGCCUGGAGUUUGUAGAAAUCACACUUUUAGUUUUAGGUCAUCGAUUACUUGAGGUUUAGCUUUAUAUUUUGGUAAAUUGUUUAUUAAACUUAGACAAUCUGUUGGAAUCACUUGUAUGUAGUGUUACUGAUAAAAUUCAAGAGCAAAUCAUUGCAGGAACAUGCUCUAAUAUCAUCAAAGGAUUCAUGAUUACCAAAACUUAACUUAACUGAAGCUUGUAUAACUUAUUUGACUUGAUUUCAAUGCUAUGUUUGUCCAUAUAAUCAUAUGCCUUCGUAAUCUGUUUCAAAUGACUUAUUUCUACACCGUUAUUGCAUGAUGUCAAAUGAAAACACUACACAAAUGCUAUCAUAACUUCAGUUCUUGGUGUGAUAUGACAUUGAAGCCGAUUCGUUAACAUUUUUGUUGUUUAGUGUUGUCUAUCUCAUCAAACAUUUACCACUAGUGCUAUCGUAACUGCAAUUCUUGGUGUGAUAUAUUUUAUUGUUUAAAUUUGGAUGUGAUCGUGUUGCUUUCUUGCUGAGUUUUCUCAUAUAUUUACAUAUUUACUGAUGACUUGACUUGAAUAGAGUGCUUUUGGAAGUCUAAUUGUAUUGUUAUUAGAAGAUUAUAGAGAAAAAAAGGAAGAAUGGCAAGUAAGCAUCCUAAAACAUUAAUCUGGGAUUUAUAAAGAUAUAUUGUAGACAAUGAUGUAUUAAUACACUAUAUUUCCAGGCCGGAAAAGUCCAGAAUAUUAAGGAUUAAAGCAAAAAGUUUCUCAAAUACGAUAACAAAUCCAGACAUACUUGAUGACGAGAGUUCUGAGAACAAUGAAGAAAUAGGCAAGUAAAAAAAAUUAUUUUAAAUCAAAUAAUUACUUGAAUAACAAAUUGAAAGCAAACAAUAAAUUUUGUCAACAUUUGGUUAUAGAUUUUGAAGUGUCAUUGAAUGUGGAUCGAGUUAAUACAUUAUCAGAAAUGGAUGCUGAACUAGAAAGACAAUUAGGUAUGACAAAUGCAUUUUCAUAGAUCAUUAAAUAAAUAAAAUAAACUUGUGGACAAAUUCUUUGAUUUCAACAGAAAGUUCAACGAAUCUGAAGAUGGUUUUAAGAAGACAAAGGAAUGAGAUGAUGAAAGAAAUGCUUGCAGGUUUGUAAUAAAACACAUCAUAAAGUUAGAUGUUUACACAUGUGUAAAUAGUCAUAGUUAAUAUUGAAUUUGUGUAAUUAAGACACUUACACAUGUGUAAAUAAGUUGUUUACACAUGUGUAAGUAAGCUGUUUAUACAUGUUUUUAAAUGUUUUCCAUUGUU
rnacentral:lncRNA from 1 species